GACGAACGCUGGCGGCGUGCUUAACACAUGCAAGUCGAGCGGUAAGGCCCUUUCGGGGGUACACGAGCGGCGAACGGGUGAGUAACACGUGGGUGACCUGCCCUCAGCUCUGGGAUAAGCCCGGGAAACGUGGGUCUAAUACCGGAUAUGACUCCAUGACGCAUGUUGUGGGGUGGAAAGCCUUGUGCGGCUGAGGAUGGGCCCGCGGCCUAUCAGCUUGUUGGUGGGGUGAUGGCCUACCAAGGCGACGACGGGUAGCCGGCCUGAGAGGGCGACCGGCCACACUGGGACUGAGACACGGCCCAGACUCCUACGGGAGGCAGCAGUGGGAAUCUUGCGCAAUGGGCGAAAGCCUGACGCAGCGACGCCGCGUGAGGGAUGACGGCCU
rnacentral:rRNA from 1 species